rnacentral:rRNA from 1 species
GACGAACGCUGGCGGCGUGCUUAACACAUGCAAGUCGAACGGAAAGGCCCUGCUUUUGCGGGGUGCUCGAGUGGCGAACGGGUGAGUAACACGUGAGUAACUUGCCCUUGACUUUGGGAUAACUUCAGGAAACUGGGGCUAAUACCGGAUAGGAGCUCCUGCUGCAUGGUGGGGGUUGGAAAGUUUCGGCGGUUGGGGAUGGACUCGCGGCUUAUCAGCUUGUUGGUGGGGUAGUGGCUUACCAAGGCUUUGACGGGUAGCCGGCCUGAGAGGGUGACCGGCCACAUUGGGACUGAGAUACGGCCCAGACUCCUACGGGAGGCAGCAGUGGGGAAUAUUGCACAAUGGGCGGAAGCCUGAUGCAGCAACGCCGCGUGCGGGAUGACGGCCUUCGGGUUGUAAACCGCUUUCGCCUGUGACGAAGCGUGAGUGACGGUAAUGGGUAAAGAAGCACCGGCUAACUACGUG